CAGUUGCAAACAGAGGGGGGUGGAACGGUACAUGUAUUUGUACUGAGCCGGCACGGCGUGGACGUUACGGUUCGGUGCAGGCAGUCAUACGGAGAACACGGUU